UACGGAGGGAGCUGAGCGUUGUUUCGGAAUUAACUGGGCGUAAAGGCGCAACGUAGGCGGCUUUGUAAGUUAGAGGUGAAAAGCCCGGGGCUCAACUCCGGAACUGCCUUUAAGACUACAUCGCUUGAAUUCCAAGGAGAGGUGAGUGGAAUUCCGAGUGUAGAAGGUGAAAUUCGUAGAUAUUCGGAAAGAACACCAGUGGCGAAGGCGGCUCACUGGACUGGUAAUUGACGCUGAGGUGCGAAAGCGUGGGGAGCAAACAGGG
rnacentral:rRNA from 1 species